AAUGUGCAUUUAAUACGGACUUCUUAAGUUCUUACGCCGAAACUGAACAACAAACAACCCGGCAUCGAGAAAUGUGGAUUUGUGUGACGUCAUUCCAGUUAAAACCUCAUAACGUCAAUAACGUUUACAUUAUUACGUCAUAAAAAAAACAACGCGCCUAGCAACGUCACGGCAUUAUAAGCCAACCCAUUACAUCAUCAACACACGGAAUGUAAAAUGGCAAAACUGAAAAAUAAAUUAAAAAAAAACAACACUUUCGAGUGCGAGGAAACUGGUCCUCAAGAUGUUCGUCUGCAUGUGCUGCCCAUCCUUAGUCACGAAAAUGGAGGUCGACGCAAACGAAUAUAACGAUACCGAUGAUCUUGUGGUGACUCGCGUUUACAGGGCCGCCAGCUUCACUAACGCCGUCACUGCCGGCAGGAUGCGCGUACAGGGCUCCAGAAGCGCGACCCGGGCAGAGUCGCAAACUGCCGCCGGAACUAGCAGACGCCAGACGAACCUGCACGAGAGAACGCGUCGACCGGCCUCACCGGAAACGUCGGCAAUAUCAAGGGAGCGAAUCUCGUCAUGGAAUGAUGACUCCGAGAAUUAAGCUAUUUCACAGAGCCCGGAAGAAAGCGACAACGGAAGCGAGGUGGGCGACUACAGAGAUGCCGGCCUUGACUUGGCAACAUUGCAGGCGUAUUUGUAUUGGACUUAAUUUGUUGUAUGUAUGUUUUGUUUGUAUGUUAUAAAGAAAUGUGUUUAUUUUGGUAA